UAGGGAAUCUUCCGCAAUGGACGCAAGUCUGACGGAGCAACGCCGCGUGAGUGAAGAAGGAUUUCGGUUCGUAAAACUCUGUUGUUAGAGAAGAACAGCGCAUAGAGUAACUGUUAUGCGUGUGACGGUAUCUAACCAGAAAGCCACGGCUAACUACGUGCCAGCAGCCGCGGUAAUACGUAGGUGGCAAGCGUUGUCCGGAUUUAUUGGGCGUAAAGCGAGCGCAGGCGGUCAAUUAAGUCUGAUGUGAAAGCCCCCGGCUCAACCGGGGAGGGUCAUUGGAAACUGGUUGACUUGAGAGCAGAAGAGGAGAGUGGAAUUCCAUGUGUAGCGGUGAAAUGCGCAGAGUUAUGGAGGAACACCAGUGGCGAAGGCGACUUUCUGGUCUGUAACUGACGCUGAUGUGCGAAAGCGUGGGGAUCAAACAGG
rnacentral:rRNA from 1 species